rnacentral:rRNA from 1 species
AGAGUUUGAUCAUGGCUCAGGAUGAACGCUAGCGGCAGGCUUAAUACAUGCAAGUCGAGGGGUAACAUGGGUAGCAAUACCUGAUGACGACCGGCAAACGGGUGCGGAACACGUACGCAACCUUCCCAAAACUGGUGAAUAGCCCUCCGAAAGGAGGAUUAAUACACCGUAAGAUAAUGAAGAGGCAUCUCUUUAUUAUUAUAGCUCCGGCGGUUUUGGAUGGGCGUGCGCCUGAUUAGGUAGUUGGCGGGGUAACGGCCCACCAAGCCUGCGAUCAGUAACUGGUGUGAGAGCACGACCAGUCACACGGGCACUGAGACACGGGCCCGACUCCUACGGGAGGCAGCAGUAAGGAAUAUUGGUCAAUGGACGAAAGUCUGAACCAGCCAUGCCGCGUGAAGGAUGAAGGUCCUCUGGAUUGUAAACUUCUUUUAUCUGGGACGAAAAAAGGGAAUUCUUUCUCACUUGACGGUACCAGAGGAAUAAGCACCGGCUAACUCCGUGCCAGCAGCCGCGGUAAUACGGAGGGUGCAAGCGUUAUCCGGAUUCACUGGGUUUAAAGGGAGCGUAGGUGGGCAGGUAAGUCAGUGGUGAAAUCUCCGGGCUUAACCCGGAAACUGCCAUUGAUACUAUUUGUCUUGAAUAUCCUGGAGGUAAGCGGAAUAUGUCAUGUAGCGGUGAAAUGCUUAGAUAUGACAUAGAACACCCAUUGCGAAGGC